GUGAGGGAUAUUGGGCAAUGGGGGAAACCCUGACCCAGCGACGCCGCGUGAGGGAAGACGGUCUUCGGAUUGUAAACCUCUGUCUUUGGGGACGAAAAAGGACGGUACCCAAGGAGGAAGCUCCGGCUAACUACGUGCCAGCAGCCGCGGUAAUACGUAGGGAGCGAGCGUUGUCCGGAAUUACUGGGUGUAAAGGGAGCGUAGGCGGGAUUGCAAGUUGGAUGUGAAAACUGCGGGCUCAACCCGGAGAGUGCAUUCAAAACUGCGAUUCUUGAGUGAAGUAGAGGCAAGCGGAAUUCCUAGUGUAGCGGUGAAAUGCGUAGAUAUUAGGAGGAACACCAGUGGCGAAGGCGGCUUGCUGGGCUUUUACUGACGCUGAGGCUCGAAAGUGUGGGGAGCAAACAGGA
rnacentral:rRNA from 1 species